UGACUCUCGAUAAUGGAUAUCUUGGCUCUCGUAUCGAUGAAAAAUGUAGCAAAAUG
rnacentral:rRNA from 1 species